rnacentral:lncRNA from 1 species
ACCAAACAAUCUGGCUAUUCCUUCAAUCUGCAGCUCUAUCUAGACGAAAACAGCAGAAAAGGGUAUUUUUGAUACAAAUAUAUAUUUUAAAAAAGUCUCUAAAUGGCCAAGGAAAGUCAUAGAUUGGUCUUAACGGUCUUGCCUAAACAUAAUUUCCAGCUACAGAAGUCGCACUAACAGUGUAAAAAAAAGGGGGGUUGUUUUUGUAAACACAGCAGACAUUCAAAUGAGAUAUAAAUAAUUUUGGUAAAAAAAAUUGCAAUAAUUGAUAAAGAUCGGCUGUUUACAUCUUGAAAUUGUCUCUUUUUUUUUUAAAAGGUUGGAAAAGACCAAAGUCCAGAUUCUUAUCAAACUCAAAUCAAUUUGUUUAGAGGAAUUACUCCAGUAUUGGACACUAUUGUAUAAAAAAUGUUCAAAAUUACAGUAAAAAAUAUAACCACAUUGUGCGAUAAAAAUAAAAUAAAUCUUAUACUUAAUACAUCUUAUACAUGUUAUACGGCACUAAAAUUAUCUUCCUCUUUCGUAACAAAUUGUUAAAAUGCAAAAGUAAUCUAUUGCAAUAGAUUUCAUUAUACACAGUGGCGGAUUCAGCGGGGGGCGUAGAGGGCGUACGCCCCCCCCCCCUUUGCUGACUUUUUUUUUUUUUUUUUGUAAAAUAAUUAAUUAGACUAGACUUCAUGAAACUUUCCAUUUCCUGUGUAUUAUGUUUUUAAGCGACAAUUCUUUGGUUACAAAUGUAUAUUUUGCACGUAUUUACUGUAUUAUAUUAUUGGUUAUGUAAAAGUUAUGUGAUUUGCUACGAGUUAACCAGUGCAUCGAAAAAACGUCAACUCAGUCAUUUUGAAAUUCAAAUAACAGUAACACAUUGCUUUGGCUGAGGGUGACAAGUAUGACACCUUCAAAGCGACAAAGAAUUGAGCAAGAACGUAGUGACUUCUAUUUCACAAUUCCACAAACAGAAAGUAAUACUCUAUUAUACUCUCAUAAAAAAAAGUUUCACAGCAAUAUUAUUUACCUAUCAAAACAUGUUAACCCCACACGCCUCAGCUUAUUAAUAACUGUUACAUAGCUGAAUAAUGAUCCCCAAUCAGCAAGCUCUAUAUAGAUUUAAAGUCUAAGGUAUGGCAGUUAGAUUUGAGGGGGAAGUCUGAGAUGUUUGAGAGAAGAAAAAUUACCCUGAUUUUUGCCUUAAACAUGUUAAUCAUGUUAAACAUAAAUUCUGGUCGUAUUUGGAAUGAAAACAAUAAGCUUGUCCACUUAUUUGCUAUUAGAAACAAAAUUUCCAACAAAAUUAUUUGGCCUUUAUGUCUCAAUUUGUCAUUCAUAAAUUCGUAGUCUUUUCAGACUCAUUUGUAGUUUUUGGUUGAAUUAGAACCUCACUUUCCUUGUUUUGUGAAACAUUUCAACCAAACAUUUUGAUAAAAUUUCUUGUUUGUCUUUCUUAAAUAGUGUCGGUCGUAUUGUAAAUUUCAUUGAAUAUAUAUAUAGCCCGGCGUUUAUCUUGUUUACAACAAGAUAUCUGUGAGGUUAUACCAACUAAACAUACAACAAACAAGAAUUUUCCAUGCCCAUAUUUUACUGACAAGUCUGACAUCAAAUAUAUUAGUCCAUAUCAUUACAUAAUAGAUAGUUUAUGUGGAGAAUACGGCAUAAAAAAUGUUUAACUCGUACACUUUACAGCAACUAUAGAAUAACAACAACAACAACAACAAUACUUUAUUUAAGAGGGUUACACAGCUUAGUAUAUAACUUAAUCUCCUGAUGGCCCUCAUCAUAGAAAUCAAAACAAAACUGCAAACAUAUACAUUGCAUACAUUAGUAACAACUAAUAUAGACAAAAGUCAAUAUGAUAAUAAUGUUUAAUAGAACUUGAUAAAAUGGUGAUGAAUAAAAAAUAAAUACAUGAUGACAUGAUGCAGUUUUUAAUAUGUAUUGAUAUAUGCUUAGUGUGAUGUUCACUAAAUGAUUUUUUUGUAAUUGAUGAAAGAGAUUAACAUCUUGGUAAUAUUUCUAACGGUAUUGGCAAAUUAUUCGCCAAGAAAUGGUCGCACGAAUUACCAAUAAAAGUUUUUUGACAUUCUGUUUUGGUUUAGUGGAGUAUGAGGUUUCCUUAACAGGACAUGUUCUCAGAGGGGUAUGGAUUUUUGUCUGAAACAAUAAUGAAACCUUGUUUAGUAAAUAUGAUGGGGGCAGCAUUUUUAAUGCACUUAAUGUCAUUUCACUAACUUAUGAUCAUUUAUAAUCUUUCAAUCUGUCAUCUCCCAGUUUAAAUGUUGUGAAUAGGGAUGCAGAAGGUAGCGAAUGAUCCUGUUCUAGUAUUAUCUAGCAGCCAGCUCCUUUUGUAACUUUUAAUAUCCUUUUUAAAACCCUCACUGCUAGCAACUACUGCCAACACUAUACAACAAUAAUGCAAUUAGUGGCAAGAUAUAACCAUUAUAGGAAUAUUUUCUGCAGUCUAAGAUUUAGAAAUUUUUUUAGAUCUUUAAUAGUACGAUAUAGUCUAAGAUGAUAUUUUUCGAGCAGAUCACAUCAAUUGGUUUGUCCAUGUGAGGAAAAGGGUAAUUUUAAGUGCUAAAAGACUUUCGACAGUGAAGAUUGUAUCACUUGAUUGUUAGAUUUAGGUUAAACUCAACUCUAUUGUAAUGUGGCAAUUGCUGUCUUGUGGCUGUCGUUCCAAUUAGGAACAUAUAUAUUAUUGUUUUUAUUUUAUUGAUGACAUAUUUAUCAUUGCACAUUCCUCCAACCAAGUAACUCUUUCUUGUACCUUUGACUGUAGAGUUUGAUAACAAUAACGCAGGAAUCAUGGAUGAGUGAAGAGUUUGUGAAUCAUCGGGACAUAGAAGAUCAGUGCAAACAAUUUGAGCAUAUAAUGAAGAUCGUUUAUGUAUAAUAUAAAACAGAUCAGGGGGCCUAAUAUGGAGCCUUUGGGGGACACCAUACUUGAUUAUAAAGUUUUCAGAUGAGCAUGAUACCGAUUUGUACCUUGGUUGAGUUCUUCAUUCAGAAUAUGAUUUAAAAAAAAACAGCAGUAUAUCAAAUCCAUAAAUUUCAAGUUUUUUUACAGAAGAAUAUUUCCCCCCCAUGAUUUUACUACAGUCAAAAGCUUUCCUUAAAAUCCACAGGACUGCUAAGAUUGAUAUUACCAUCAUUAUAUCCUGAUCCAUUUAUCAUGUACUUAUACGAGGCAGUUUGGCAAGAGUGUUCUUGCUGCGAAUACCCAGACUGUGCUGGGUGGGUAAAAGAUCUAAUCUUUUUCAGGUAGUCAUACAAAAUGUUUUUGAACAUGCUUUUCUAAAAGUUUGAUAAAACGGAAAGUACAUGCCCAAAGUCAGGAACCAUUUAAAAAGUGCAUUUUACACUUAUUUUAUGGUUUUUUAGCCUAAAAAAGGUCCCAAAACAUUAUUUAUUUCGCCCCCCCCCUCUUUCCAAAAUCCUUGAUCCGCCCCUGAUACCUUUAAUCUUUUAUUCACAUAUAUAUAUAUACUAAAGUAAUUGUUUGUAUUUUACUACCAUGUAUUCGAAUUGUUUAUCCAUCUGGUCAUUACCAUUUAUUGUAAAUGCGUUUGUACCAAUAAAAUAUUGUCUAUUGUCUAUUGUCUGUUAACAGUGGCCGUCAGUUGGUCUGAUUGGGGUCUAAGCGUGAUGCAGGAUUACUGAUUUUUUGUAAGCUUGACACGUGAAAGUCAAAUUAUUGUGUCGUGAAAACGUGAAAUGAGGUCUAGCGGGACCAGGGAAAUGACAAAAAGUGAGAAUUGCUUACGUACAUAGUGUAAGCGGGAUACAGGAAUCUGACAAAACAGUAAGCGGGAUCCGGGAUCGUAACCCCCCAAUGAGACCCCCUUAACAAAUUAUGUAUUAGACUAGUCCAAGUAAUUAUGAUGUCUGGGAAGGCUAUUCUUUUUUUCUAGGAAGUCUUCCUCCCAGAAAAAAAAUAAAAUAGGCUUGCCAGAUGUCAUAAUUAUUUGGACUAGUCUUUGACAAGGUUGAAAAUAAUUAAGUGAGGUUCAUUCUUUUACAGAGUUAUGCCCUUUUAAAAUAUUAAUUAUAUGGAAUAUUGCUCUAAUGUACACAGAUUUUUAUGAAAUUUAUAUUACCGGUUUACAUCAUCAAUGUCUUUUGACAAGUAUAUAAAACACUGUGCUGUCAAUUAUUCUUAAAAGAGUAAGGUCACUUGUGUACAAUAUUAUUGAUAGAAUUUUACAAUCUUUAUCUAUAUUUUAUAACUUCUACCAAUCUAGGCACACCUCCAGAGUCCUGUCUCUUUGUAAAUAUAUUAGUUUUCAACAAGUAAAGUGAACACAUUUUUGUCGAGCCUGCAACUUUUUGUUGCAGAAAGCUCGACAUAGGGAUAGUGAAUCUGGCGGCUACAGCUGCGGCUACUGCGAGGCGCGUUAGCUACUACUUAAAGGUUUAUUAUUUUAGAAGGUGAAGGACCUGAUCGCUUCAUACUUUGUAUAUAGAUGCCUCAUGUUACGAAGUUUCCGUCAGUCACAUGUCCGAUGUCCUUGACCUCAUUUUUAUGGUUCAGUGACCACUUGAAAAAAAAGUUCAGAAUUUUUGUAAUGUUGAAUUCUCUCUUAAUAUAAGUAAUAGGAUAACUAUAUUUGGUAUGUGCCUACCUUGCAAGGUCCUCAUGCCCGUCAGACAGUUUUCACUUGACCCUCGACUCCUUUCAUGGAUCAGUGAACAAGGUUAAGUUUUGGUGGUCAAGUCCUAUAUCUCAGAAAUUAUAUAGCAAUGGGGCUAGUAUAUUUUGGUGUAUGGAAGGCUGGAAGGUGUACAUUCCAACUGGCAGGUGGUCAUCUGACCUUGACUCCAUUUUCAUGGGUUCAGUUGUUAUACGUUAAAGUUUUGUGUUUUGGUCUGUUUUUUCUACAUACUUUAUGCAAUAGGUCUACUUAUUUGUUGUUGGAAAUGAUUGGUAAGGUGUGCAGUGCAGGCGGUAUGAUGUCAUCUGACCUUGACCUCAUUUCAUGGUUCAGCUGGUCAAAGUUAAGUUUUAAGUUUUGGUCUUUUUAUCUAAUAUUAUAUGCAAAGGUGCAACUAUAUUGGUGGUAUGGAAAUAUAUGUAUGAUCUAUACUGUCAGUCCGCAAAGUUUAUUUGACCAAUGACCAUCAAGUUGCACGGUCAUAUGCACAGGUGUUAGCUUUUUGUGUUUGGUCUAUUUUUCUUAAACAACAGGCUCAUGGGACAUUGGUCACAUUAUCGGCACGAUUAAUAGAGUUCAUUGGGAGUAGGCGCUGGGGAUCAAGUCGUGUGAUUUUGAUCUGGACUAGCAUUAGCUGGGAAGCUUGUGUUAGCUGUACAUGUCUGCCUGGCAUGCGUUCAUCUGACAAUUGACCCUCAUUUUCAUGUUCAUGUGGUCUUUGUUUAGAUCUACUGGUGUAAUGGUGCUAAGUUUAUGUGACAGUUGAAUAAAGCUUCUAUACUUAGGACUUUCAACAUAAUAUCAAUGAUUAGUAAAGAAGGCGAGACAUUUCAGUGUGUGCACUCUUGUUUUAAUUAGGAUAGAGCCAAGGCAGUCCACAGCUUUUUUAAAAGCUCAAACUUGUCAUGCUUGUAUAAAAUCAUGUUACUUUUUUUAAAGGUUAAUUAUAUGUAGAGAAUUAUUUUACAGAUAUUAGAGAACAAGCAAGCAGUUAUUUUAAAGAAUGAAACUGGAACAUUGAAUUCCUUUCUUGGAAGGAGAAGAAAUAUAAAGAUGUUAUAAGACUGAUGUAACUAUGGACAGUAGUGAUCCAGUCACCAAUAUCACAGAUAUCACAGGUUUGAAAUGUGUUCUGUUUUAUGCCCAAAACAAAUACUUUUUCUGAUAUAUAUAAGAAUUUGCCAAUGGGUGUUGCAGCAAAACCUCGAUUUGGUUUCUAUUAUAUUAAUUAGGAAAUAACAAUAAUUUACUUUAAUCACCUACAGCAUCAAUUGGUGAUUUGAUUGUUGCAAAUUAAAUUUACUGGCGAUACAAUAUCGUUAUAAAAUUGAGAAUGGAAAUGGGGAAUGUGUCAAAGAGACAACAAACCGACAGAGAGCAAAUAACAUGCCAUCUCCAUUUUAAUGAAACUGGAAGAAAACACAGUUAGAACUAACAUUUAAAUACAGUCAUAACAUCGUCUGUAAGUAUAAGCAUAGUAAGGUCUUUUGAAGGAUGUUUGGUCAUGUUGGGAAUCUACAUACGUUUUGUUCAUUGUAAUAAUACAAACACCAUGAACAGACUAGAUUUGGCUUGCUUGCAUUGAAGACCCGAAUCGGUGGCUCUUUGGCUGUUAUAUGCUCUUUGGUCGGCUGUUGUCUCUUUGACAUAUUCCCCAUUUCCAUUCUCAGUUUAUUGUCAGAUGAAACUUAUGUGACUUGACUAGUUUAGUUAUAAGAGAUAUAAUAGACAAACUGUUCUUAAUUUAAUGAAUAUAAAGAAAUAAAGACCCCCAUUGUUGCUAAAAUCCUUAUUUCACUAACUUAAUUUGUUAUCAGACAAUGGCAACUGAAUUAGAAUAAAACAAUUUUCCUUUGCAUUUUUUUCUUCAAAUUUUAUUUUAGCAACAACAGCUUAAGCAUAUAAUACCAGCGUUACAACACCAUACUGGAAACAGCCAUGACGAUGAUUCCUCUGGUCACGAAUUAAGGACCAUACAUGUUUU